UACGUAGGUGGCAAGCGUUGUCCGGAUUUAUUGGGUUUAAAGGGUGCGUAGGCGGCCUUGUAAGUCAGUGGUGAAAUACUCUAGCUUAACUAGAGGGGUGCCAUUGAUACUGCAGGGCUUGAGUACAGACGAGGUAGGCGGAAUUGACGGUGUAGCGGUGAAAUGCAUAGAUAUCGUCAAGAACUCCGAUAGUGAAGACAGCUUACUAGGCUGUAACUGACGCUGAGGCACGAAAGUGUGGGGAUCAAACAGG
rnacentral:rRNA from 2 species